UUACCGCUUUGACAUUUUAGAGAUUAGUUCGCUGACAGGUGCUGCAUGGCUGUCGUCAGCUCGUGUCGUGAGAUGUUGGGUUAAGUCCCGCAACGAGCGCAACCCCGCCUUAGUUGUCAUCAUAUGGGACUCUAAGGGACUGCCGGUGAUAACCGGAGGAAGGUGGGGAUGACGUCAAGUCCUCAUGGCCCUUACGGCGGGCUACACACGUGCUACAAUGGGUGACAUGGGGCAGGGCGACCCUAGCAAUCUCAAAAGCAUCUCAGUUCGGAUUGCACUCUGCAACUCGAGUGCAUGAAGGUGGAAUCGCUAGUAAUCGUGAUCAGAUGCACGGUGAAUACGUUCCCGGGCCUUGUACACACCGCCCGUCACACCAUGGGAGUUGGUUACCGAA
rnacentral:rRNA from 1 species